CUUUGGCUAGUGGGCGGAUCAUAGUGCUUGGCUGAGGAGGAGGUGGUGGUGGUUUGUUAAAUCUAUUGCUUCAGAUGGUGAUUUGAGAACAGAACACUUGGGUUCUAUUUUCACCUCCAGAGUAACCUAACUGGGAAAGCCCCUUGUGCAAAAUUAUCAAAGGAAAGGAGAAUAAGAGAGAAAAUGAGAGGAAGACAAGCAAAACUCCAAAAUGAGAGAAAAGGAAAGAUCUUAUAUGAGAGGGCUGCUCUGCAACACAGAAUAAAGCUACCGAGGCUGUUGGACAUCAUUUUAGACUCUCUGUCUGAUUGGCAGAUCACAGAAAAGAAAUACAUCCCAUGAGCCUCUGUGCGAGGUCGUUACCAACUGAUUGAGUAUUCACUUUCAUGCCUUAAAUCUCUAAAACCCAGGU